CCCUUAGAUGCUCUGGGCCGCACGCGCGCUACACUGGUCGAUGCAACGAGUUUCUUUCCUUGGCCGACAGGCCUGGGCAAUCUUUGAACAUCGAUCGUGAUCGGGAUAGAUUCUUGUAAUUUUUGAUCUUAAACGAGGAAUUCCUAGUAAACGCAAGUCAUCAGCUUGCAUUGAUUACGUCCCUGCCCUUUGUACACACCGCCCGUCGCACCUACCGAUUGAAUGGUCCGGUGAAGCGUUCGGACCGUGGCCUUUGGACGGUUCGCCGUCUGUUGGCUGCGGGAAGUUCGUUAAACCUUAUCAUUUAGAGGAAGGAGAANUCGUAACA
rnacentral:rRNA from 1 species